rnacentral:tRNA from 1 species
AGCAGCGUGGCGCAGUGGAAGUGUGGUGGGAGCAUAACUCAUAGGUCAAUGGAUCGAAACCACUUCCUGCUA